UUAAAUUUGUAAGGGCGUAUGGUGGAUGCCUUGGCAUUAGAAGCUGAUGAAGGACGUGACUAACUACGAUAUGCUUCGGGGAGAUGUACGUAAUCUUUGAUCCGGAGAUUUCCGAAUGGGGGAACCCACUAGUGGUAAUGCACUAGUAUCGUAUAAUGAAAACAUAGUUAUACAGAAAGCAACCCAGUGAACUGAAACAUCUUAGUAACUGGAGGAAAAGAAAGAAAAAUCGAUUUCCUUAGUAGUGGCGAGCGAAAUGGAAAGAGCCCAAACCGACUUUAGAGUCGGGGUUGUAGGACCUCUAUAUAAGAGUAAGAAAAUCAUAACAUAGUUGAACUAUUCUGGAAAGUUUGGCGAAACAAGGUGAUAGCCCUGUAAACGAAAUGUUAUGGUCUCUUUGAGGUAUCCUGAGUACAACGAGACACGUGGAAUCUUGUUGGAAUCUGCGGGGACCAUCCCGCAAGGCUAAAUACUCUCUAAUGACCGAUAGUGAACAAGUACCGUGAGGGAAAGGUGAAAAGAACCCCGGAAGGGGAGUGAAAUAGAAACUGAAACCGUAUGCUUACAAAAAGUUCGAGCCCGUUAAUGGGUGAGAGCGUGCCUUUUGCAGAAUGAACCGGCGAGUUAUUGUAUUAUGCAAGGUUAAGUCGAACAGAUGGAGCCGAAGCGAAAGCGAGUCUGAAUAGGGCGCUUUAGUAUGAUGCAAUAGACCCGAAACCGAGUGAUCUAGCCAUGAGCAGGUUGAAGUUGGGGUAAGACCCAAUGGAGGACCGAACCGAUAUGCCCGGAAACGCGUACGGAUGACUUGUGGUUAGCGGAGAAAUUCCAAACGAACUCGGAGAUAGCUGGUUCUCCCCGAAAUAGGUUUAGGCCUAGCCUUGAUUGAAUCUGCCCGGAGGUAGAGCACUGAAUGUGCGAUGGCGUCGUCUAGAUGUACUGAGUACAAUCAAACUCCGAAUGCUGGGUAGUACUAAUCAGGAGUCACUGUAUGGGUGAUAACGUCCAUACGGGAGAGGAAAACAAUCCGGAUCGCCAGCUAAGGUCCCAAAAUUUGUGUUAAGUGGGAAAGGAUGUAGAGUUGUCAAAACAGCUAGGAGGUUGGCUUAGAAGCAGCCACCCUUUAAAGAGUGCGUAAUAGCUCACUAGUCGAGUGACACUGCGCCGAAGAUGUACCGGGGCUAAACACAAUACCGAAGCUGCGGACUUGCACGUAAGUGUAAGUGGUAGGGGAGCGUUCUAAGGGCGUUGAAGGUAGACCGUGAGGACUAUUGGAGCGCUUAGAAGUGAGAAUGCCGGUGUGAGUAACGAAAAUUGGGUGAGAAUCCCAUUCACCGUUUGACUAAGGGUUCCUGGGUAAAGUUCGUCUUCCCAGGGUAAGUCAGGACCUAAGAUGAGGCUGAAAAGCGUAGUCGAUGGACAACAGGUUGAUAUUCCUGUACCACCUAUAUGACUGAAGGAGUGACGGAGAAAGCUAACGAGGGCCAGUUAAUGGAUUCUGGUCUAAGUGCGUAGGCUAGUAUGUUGGCAAAUCCGCAAUACUAUAAUAGCUGAAACAUGAUGGGGAAGUAAGUCUUCGGACGAGCGAACUCUCGUGAUGCUAUGCUUCCAAGAAAAGCUUCUAGGGCUAAUUGUAUAGGUGCCUGUACCGACAACCGACACAGGUGGUCAAGGAGAGUAUCCUAAGGUGAGCGAGAGAACUAUGGUUAAGGAACUCGGCAAAAUGACCCCGUAACUUCGGGAGAAGGGGUGGUCUAGCGAUAGACCCGCAGUGAAUAGGCCCAGGCAACUGUUUACCAAAAACACAGGUCUCUGCUAACACGAAAGUGGAUGUAUAGGGGCUGACGCCUGCCCAGUGCUGGAAGGUUAAAGAGAUUAGUUAGUAUGACGUAAGUCGAUAAUACGAAGCUUUGAACUGAAGCCCCAGUGAACGGCGGCCGUAACUAUAACGGUCCUAAGGUAGCGAAAUUCCUUGUCAGGUAAG
rnacentral:rRNA from 1 species